rnacentral:rRNA from 1 species
GACGAACGCUGGCGGCGCGCUUAACACAUGCAAGUCGAACGGGGUUCACCCUUCGGGGUGGGUCCAGUGGCGAACGGGUGCGUAACACGUGAGCAACCUGCCCAUGCAUGGGGGAUAACC